GGAGAGGUGCCCGAGUGGUUGAAGGGGUACGCCUGGAAAGCGUAUGUGCUGGUAACGGUACCGUGAGUUCGAAUCUCAUCCUCUCCGCCA
rnacentral:tRNA from 1 species